GUUGAGGGGAAUGUUGGCUGGCUCGAGGCUUUAAACAAAUCAAUGUUCAUAGCCUUGAAGAACAAAAAGGCUUCGGACCAGGCUUCAUUCCCCUCAAA